rnacentral:tRNA from 1 species
UUUUAAGAAGCAUUAAAUGCCUUCAAUUUCGACUUGAAUUUUAGUAUUAAAAUUUACUCUUAUUAA